rnacentral:rRNA from 1 species
UACGUAGGGUGCGAGCGUUGUCCGGAAUUAUUGGGCGUAAAGGGCUCGUAGGCGGUCUGUCGCGUCGGGAGUGAAAACUCAGGGCUUAACCCUGAGCCUGCUUCCGAUACGGGCAGACUAGAGGUAUGCAGGGGAGAACGGAAUUCCUGGUGUAGCGUGGAAUGCGCAGAUAUCAGGAGGAACACCGGUGGCGAAGGCGGUUCUCUGGGACGGUACUGACGCUGAGACGCGAAGCGUGGGGAGCGAACAGG